UCCAGUACACUAGGGAUAUCGUGGUCAACACGCUGGCGGUUGGGGAAAGGUAUUUUCAUUUUCUUUUUACGUAGUGAACUGAAAAACUAUUGUUAUUUUAUAUUUAUCAUUUUAAAAGCAGGUUUCGUGUCUUUCGAUUUAAACAGUAGCACGGUUUUUUGCGGUAUUCCUAAUUUCAUUUUGGACAACAUUUGAAGGCUUUUCCAAAUUGCGUCAUUAAAACCAGGAAUGAUAGCCGUCCAAUGAAAACACUUCUUGCAUUUCAGAUUAAGAGGCGAGUGUGCGGUCAAGGUCAAAAUUGCGAGAGGCUGAUUCGAAGUGAAAUACCGCAACAAAAACGUUUGAUUUGGACAUUAACGCGUCUAACUGAAUGAGUCACAAUGUUUCUACCACAAGAGUUGUAAAUAUUGAACAGAAAGGGCUUCACCUUCAAGAUGAAAACUGCAAAAAAUGGCCACCAACAAUAAUGGGCCAGGACUGAGGAGUUCCAAGAAAUGAGUAUUCUUCAGCCCACAAAUAUCAGUGCUGCCCCGCUGCCCAAAACCAGAGUGUGGCAACAAGUAAAUGGACCUUGACAAAUGUCCUCUAUGUUAGAGCCAGUCCCUUACACAAGUGGCCUACUUUUGCACAGCUGAGGUUGUUAUCAAACGCAGCAGUAGGUAUGAAAUGCGGAAACUGUUCCAACUUGAUCUUCAACAGUUGAGUUACUCCUCAUCACAAUACCUGAACUGAAAACAAUCGGUGACGAUCUUGCACUUCACUUCUACCUCACAGUGCUCUUCCCUAUAAACGCUAGAGGAAAGUUUGAAAAUGAAAAACUUGUCAUUGCAAGAGUGAAAGGACCAAUUGAUUCUUAACGAAACAACCUGCCUCAAUGCUUUAGCUGGCACUACAUCAAGUAAACACAAGGCAAUUUGUUUUUCUCGCAACCUGACUGGUAUGUUGAAUCUGAUCAAAAUUGUACACAACCACUGGUCAAGAAUAUAGAAAUACAAGUUGUAUGAUCAGUAACCUAAAAUAUUCUUGAAUAUUUGAACAUAAAAAAAGAGUAUUUGUUAAAGUUAUACAUAUUGUGUGUAGUGUAGGUAAGAUCAAUGUCAAGGUUAUUUUGGCUAAAAAAAGAAAAUGAGUCUUGAUUCAUAACAUCGAUGAAAUAGCAAGCCUUAAGUAUUUUCGAUAAAGUGAUACAUAUAUUUUGUGGUGAUGUCAUAACCUUGUUUCACUGUUUUUGAAGAGAAAACACAUGUUAUAAAUAUA